rnacentral:rRNA from 1 species
CACAUGCAAGUCGAGCGAGGUUUUCGGACCUAGCGGCGGACGGGUGAGUAAUGCGUAGGAAGCUGCCCGAUAGAGGGGGAUACCAGUUGGAAACGACUGUUAAUACCGCAUAAUGUCUACGGACCAAAGUGUGGGACCUUCGGGCCACAUGCUAUCGGAUGCGCCUACGUGGGAUUAGCUAGUUGGUGGGGUAAUGGCUCACCAAGGCGACGAUCCCUAGCUGGUUUGAGAGGAUGAUCAGCCACACUGGGACUGAGACACGGCCCAGACUCCUACGGGAGGCAGCAGUGGGGAAUAUUGGACAAUGGGCGCAAGCCUGAUCCAGCCAUGCCGCGUGUGUGAAGAAGGCCUUCGGGUUGUAAAGCA